rnacentral:rRNA from 1 species
UGCAAGUCGAGCGGGUGCAGCAAUGCAUCAGCGGCGGACGGGUGAGUAACGCGUGGGCAAUCUACCUUCUAGUCUGGGAUAACAGUUCGAAAGGACUGCUAACACCGGAUAUGCUCACAUCCCGGCAUCGGGAAGUGAGGAAAGUUUACGCUAGAAGAUGAGCCCGCGUCCCAUUAGCUAGUUGGUGAGGUAACGGCCCACCAAGGCGACGAUGGGUAGCCGACCUGAGAGGGUGACCGGCCACACUGGGACUGAGACACGGCCCAGACUCCUACGGGAGGCAGCAGUAGGGAAUUUUCCGCAAUGGGCGAAAGCCUGACGGAGCAACGCCGCGUGAGGGAUGAAGGUCUUCGGAUCGUAAACCUUUGUCUAGAGGGACGAUAAUGACGGUACCUCUGGAGGAAGCCACGGCUAACUACGUGCCAGCAGCCGCGGUAAUACGUAGGUGGCGAGCGUUGUCCGGAAUUACUGGGCGUAAAGGGCGUGUAGGCGGCCUUUUAAGUCAGACGUGAAAUCUCUGGGCUUAACCCAGAAAUUGCGUUUGAAACUGGAGGGCUUGAGGAUCGGAGAGGGCAGUGGAAUUCCCAGUGUAGCGGUGAAAUGCGUAGAUAUUGGGAGGAACACCAGUGGCGGAGGCGACUGCCUGGACGACACCUGACGCUGAGGCGCGAAAGCUAGGGGAGCAAACGGGAUUAGAUACCCCGGUAGUCCUAGCCGUAAACGAUGGGUACUAGGUGUGGGAGGUAUCGACCCCUUCCG